rnacentral:rRNA from 1 species
CCUACGGGGGGCAGCAGUGGGGAAUAUUGCACAAUGGGGGAAACCCUGAUGCAGCGACGCCGCGUGAGUGAAGAAGUAAUUCGUUAUGUAAAGCUCUAUCAGCAGGGAAGAAAAUGACGGUACCUGUGUAAGAAGCCCCGGCUAACUACGUGCCAGCAGCCGCGGUAAUCAGUAGGGGGCAAGCGGUAUCCGGAUUUACGGGGUGUAAAGGGAGCGUAGACGGUAGUGCAAGUCUGGAGUGAAAGGCGGGGGCUCAACCCCCGGACUGCUCUGGAAACUGGACGGCUGGAGUGCAGGAGAGGUAAGUGGAAUUCCGAGUGUAGCGGUGAAAUGCGUAGAUAUUAGGAGGAACACCAGUGGCGAAGGCGGCUUACUGGACUGUAACUGACGUUGAGGCUCGAAAGCGUGGGGAGCAAACAGGAUUAGAUACCCUAGUAGUC